rnacentral:lncRNA from 1 species
GUCAACUUCCUGUUGCUUGUAAGAUGUAGCACUUUCGGCUCCACCACCAUGUCUGCCUGCAUGCUGCCAUGUUUCCCACGAUGAUGAUAAUGGACUGAACCUCUAAAACUGGGAGAAGACUUAGGCCUCAUUUUUCCUGAGUCAAGGGACUCUAUUUCCAGAGCCCAUCAUCCAUCACAAGGGACACUGUAAAAACAUGCCAUGUGAUAUUUAGAAGGGCCAAGGUCCAGAGCCUCAAGGACAGAUCCAGGAACAUUGCAGAUCAAAGGAGAGUAGUAGGACCUGACUCCAAAGAAUCCCAGGCAGCAAGAAGAUUAUCAUCUGAUGUGCCCCCUUGACCUUGGACCUCCGAGCACACAGAACUGUGAGAAUUGUGGUGGUUAGUUUUAAAUGCCAACUUUCUAUAGCCUAGGGUCUCCUGGGAAGAGAGCCUGAAAGGGGAUUGCCUAGAGCAGGUUGGCUCUGGACAUGCCCAUGGAGAUUAUCAUGAUUAUUUUAGUUGAGGUAGAAACUCAACCCAUUGUAGGUGGCAUCAUUACAUAGGCUUGGGCUUGAACUUUGUAAGAAUGAGGAAAGCUAGCUGAAUUGAGAACAGCAAGCAGGAGGCACACAAGGCAUUUGUUCCUCUCUGCUCCUGACUGAGAUGUGGUAUGAGCCGCUGUUUGAGAUCCUGCUUUGAUUUCCCUUCAAGGAUUGUAAGCCAAAUAAACCCUUCCCUCCCCAAAGUUGCUUUUUGUCAGAAUAUUUUUCACAGCAACAAAAAUGAAACUGAGAUAAGAAUAGAUCUUUAUUCUUUAUAUUCUCUCAGAUACUCUAUUGUAGCAACAGAAAAGGGCCCAAGAGAUGCUCCAUGAUGUUUAUAUGGAUUUUCU